UGGGGAGCUAAUUGAAUCUGUUGAUCUAGUGGAUCUAAUAGAAUGAUACUCAGUACAGUCUGACUGAAGACUUUAAACUUAGCGUUUCUGAGAGGCAACCCAGCUUAUGCAUUUCAUCUAUCUUCUUUUUCUUUUGAUAGAAAAACCUAAGAAUGAUAAUUAAACAAGUUAGGGGGAGCAUCCCAUCUAAGACCCAGAUGGAGUCAUGAACAGAUCACACCCGCAAAGGAAGAAUCUCUCAAUCGAUAAUAAACGAGCACAUCGGAUUCAGGUG
rnacentral:lncRNA from 1 species